rnacentral:rRNA from 1 species
GACGAACGCUGGCGGCGUGCUUAACACAUGCAAGUCGAACGGUUAAGCUCCAUCUUUCUGGCGUGGAUAAGUGGCGCACGGGUGAGUAACACGUGAGCAACCUCCCCCUGACUCUGGAAUAAGCCCUGGAAACGGCGUCUCUUACUGCAUAUGAGAACUUUCCGCACGGGCUUUUUCUUUUAAGUUUUUCGUUUGGGGAUGGGCUCGCGGCCUAUCAGCUUGUUGGUGAGUUAAUGGCUCACCAAGGCGACGACGGGUAGCCGGCCUGAGAGGGCGACCGGCCACACUGGGACUGAGACACGGCCCAGACUCCUACGGGAGGCAGCAGUGGGGAAUAUUGCACAAUAGGCGAAAGCCUGAUACAGCGACGCCGCGUGAGGGAUGACGGCCGUCGGGUUGUAAACCUCUUUCAGCAGGAAAGAAGAGAAAGUGACGGUAACUGCAGAAGAAGCACCGGCUAACUACGUG